rnacentral:rRNA from 1 species
GACGACGCUGGCGGCGUGCCUAACACAUGCAAGUCGAACGAGUGGCGGACGUGUGAGUAAUGUCUGGGAAACUCCCUGAUGGAGGGGGAUAACUACUGGAAACGGUAGCUAAUACCGCAUACCAUCGGAUGUGCCCAGAUGGGAUUAGCUAGUAGGUGGGGUAACGGCUCACCUUGGCGACGAUCCCUAGCUGGUCUGAGGGGAUGACCAGCCACACUGGACCUGAGAAACGGGCAAGACGCCUACGGGAGGCAGCAGUGGGGAAUAUUGCACAAUGGGCGCAAGCCUGAUGCAGCCAUGCCGCGUGUAGGAAGAAGGCCUUCGGGUUGUAAAGUACUUUCAGCGGGGAGGCGUUACCCGCAGAAGAAGCAACGGCUAACUCCGUGCCAGCAGCCGCGGUAAUUC